AUGUCUAUCAUGUUUAAAGGACAUAUUACAUGAAAUGAUGCAAUUUGGAGCUUUUAGAGCAAAAAGUGAGCUUGGAAUGAAAAGGACAUGCUUGGAACACAAGGUUGGGUUGAAAUUGAAGAGUUCGAGAUUUGAGGUUUCCUACUUGAAGUAGGAAAGCUAAGCCUAAAAGUUUCCAUUUUGGGUUGAUCUUUCCUAAAUCGGAAUUGGCAACCAAAGUUUCUAAAGUUGGAAUUUUCUAUUUUUGGAGGUUUCCAAUUUCGAGAGUUUCUAUUCUCGGCUUUGGGCUUUUGGAUGACCCAUCUUUGCCUCUUGGACCUAUGCCGCACCUAACCCUAACCCUAGCCCACUUAAUCAGCCACACCUAGGCCUUGUUCACAUGAAAAAAAUCUGAUUACUUACCCUAAGCCCAUGCCGCACCUAAUGUUCUAGAAACCCUAGUUUUUGGUGGAUUUCCUAACCCUAGCCUCACCUAAACCCUAGCCCAUUUGUCUAAUCUGAUUUCUUUAGGGUUUGGCUGCCUAUAUAUAUAUGUUUUACCUCCCUUGGCCGAAUUACAACCCUCUCCAUAAUCCAGAAAUUAAUCCUUCACGCCAGAAACCAUUCCCCAUCUUCAACAGCACCUAUCCUUCAUCAUUCACCAUAUUUUCUGACCCAAAACCACCCUAGCCGUCCCAUACACCUAUCCUACACACUUUUCCACCAUUCUACACCAUCCAUAACCCCCAAAAACCAUCACAAACCCCUGUGCCGCAACCAAGGAAGAGGAGGAAGGUUCUUAGAUGUUC
rnacentral:sRNA from 1 species